rnacentral:rRNA from 1 species
UCAGUUUAUUUCGGGCAAAAGAAUUACUUGGAAAAAUAAUUUUAUUUGGAGAGAAAAGAAAAAUAUUUUUUAAAUUAGAAAUUUAAGUAUUAAUAAAGAAAUUGUAGUUAUGGUUAUAGUGGAUUAGUAUUGUAAAAGAAAGUUGUUUAUAGUAAGGCAAAAAAAAGAAAUUUUAAGUGUACCUUUUGUAUCAUGGAUAAUCAAAAUUUUGGAUUUAAGGACAUAAUCCCGAAAAAGAAAGAGUUAUAAUUGAAAAUAAGUUUUUGUGGCAGAAAAAUUUAUAAUUCUAUUAUGGAAAUGAAAAGUUAAUCGUGUUUUUAUAUCUGGUUUUUCAGGAAAUAAAUUAAAUUUAGAAUGAAGCCAAAAAUGGUCUUGAUUUUAAAAACGUAAGGGUAGAGCUUUACGUUUUAGUGCUUUUGAAGUAAGAGUUUUUUUAAAAAAGAAAAUUAGGCAUAAAAGUUGCAAUAUUUAAAAAGUGUUUUAACUUAUUAAUAAAAAAUAUAAUUUCUUGAAAACUCAAAUUGGUUAAUGAAAAAUUGAGUAAAAUUUAUUAACUCUAGGUAUUAUGAUUAUAUUAGUAUAAGUAAAUGUUUAAUUAAUUUAUUUAAAUACGAUUAAAGUUUUAAUAGAUUAGUAGACUGGAAAAGGAACUCGGCAAAAAAAGGUUCUGCCUGUUUAACAAAAACAUGUCUGUAUGAAGUUAAAUAGAGUCUAUUCUGCCCAUUGAAUGAAAAUUUAAAAGGCCGCGGUACUUUGACCGUGCAAAGGUAGCAUAAUCACUAGUUUUUUAAUUGAAGGCUUGAAUGAACGAUUGGACAAGAAUUAGACUGUCUUUUCCUGUUAAAUUGAAUUUUAUUUUUAAGUGAAAAAGCUUAAAUGCGUAAGAAAGACGAUAAGACCCUAUAAAUCUUUAUGAAAAUCAGUUUUUUAGGUUUAAAUGUAAAGUUAAAACGAAUUUUAAGAACUGGUUCAUUUUACUGGGGCGGUAAAGAUAUAAAAAGUAAACUGUUAUUAAAAUUAAACAGAGUUAUCUGAUAAAUAAAAGAUCCUUAAUUAUGGAGUAAAAGUGAAAGUUACUUUAGGGAUAACAGCAUAAUUUCUUUUGAGAGUUCAAAUCGAAAAAGAAGCUUGUGACCUCGAUGUUGAAUUAAGAUAUCCUUUAUGGUGCAGCAGUUAUAAAAGGAAGUCUGUUCGACUUUUAAAUUCUUACAUGAUUUGAGUUCAGACCGGCGUGAGCCAGGUUGGUUUCUAUCUUCUUGAAAGGAAGAGGCCUCUUUAGUACGAAAGGAUUGAGUGUGCCGAAAAAGUUUUAUAAGGAGAAUAAUAUAGUUACUUUGGCAGAUUUUAAUGCGUUAGGUUUAGGACCUAAA